AGUGAACGCUGGCGGCAGGCUUAACACAUGCAAGUCGAACGGCAGCACAGUAAGAGCUUGCUCUUACGGGUGGCGAGUCGCGGACGGGUGAGGUAUACAUCGGAAUCUACUUUUUCGUGGGGGAUAACGAAGGGAAACUUACGCUAAUACCGGAUACGAUCUACGGGUGAAAGCAGGGGAUCUUCGGACCUUGCGCGAUUGAAUGAGCCGAUGUCGGAUUAGUUAGUUGGCGGGGUAAAGGCCCACGAAGGCGACGAUCCGUAGCUGGUCUGAGAGGAGGAUCAGCCACACUGGAACUGAGACACGGUCCAGACUCCUACGGGAGGCAGCAGUGGGGAAUAUUGGGCAAUGGGCGCGAGCCUGGUCCAGCCAUACCGCGUGGGUGAAGGAGGCCUUCGGGUUGUAAAGCCGUUUUGUUGGGAAAGAAAAGCAGCAGGUUAAGACCCCGCUGUUCUGACGGUACCCAAAGAAUAAGCACCGGCUAACUUCGUG
rnacentral:rRNA from 1 species